AGGACGAACGCUGGCGGCGUGCUUAACACAUGCAAGUGGAGCGACGAACCAGGGCUUGCCCUGGGGCAGAGCCGCGAACGGGUGAGUAACACGUGGGUUACCUGCCUCGAUGACCGGGACAACCCGAGGAAACUCGGGCUAAUACCGGAUGUGCCCGCAAGGGGAAAGGAAGCUUCGGCCUCCGCAUCGAGAUGGGCCCGCGGCCCAUUAGCUUGUUGGUGAGGUAACGGCUCACCAAGGCUUCGAUGGGUAGCUGGUCUGAGAGGACGAUCAGCCACACUGGGACUGAGACACGGCCCAGACUCCUACGGGAGGCAGCAGUGGGGAAUCUUGCGCAAUGCGCGAAAGCGUGACGCAGCAACGCCGCGUGGGGGAAGAAGGCCCUCGGGUUGCAAACCCCUUUCAGUUGGGACGAAGCUUCGUCGGUUAAUAGCCGACUGGGGUGACGGUACCUUCACAAGAAGCACCGGCUAACUACGUGCCAGCAGCCGC
rnacentral:rRNA from 1 species